GACGAACGCUGGCGGCGUGCUUAACACAUGCAAGUCGAACGGUAAGGCCCUUCGGGGUACACGAGUGGCGAACGGGUGAGUAACACGUGGGUGAUCUGCCCUGCACUUCGGGAUAAGCCUGGGAAACUGGGUCUAAUACCGGAUAGGACCCUGGGAUGCAUGUCCUGGGGUGGAAAGCUUCUGCGGUGUGGGAUGGGCCCGCGGCCUAUCAGCUUGUUGGUGGGGGAAUGGCCUACCAAGGCGACGACGGGUAGCCGGCGUGGGAGGGGGACCGGUCACCCUGGGACUGAGAUAAGGCCCAGGAUCCUACGGGAGGCAGCAGUGGGUAAUAUUGCACAAUGGGAGCAAGCCUGAUGCAGCGACGCCGCGUGAGGGAUGACGGCCUUCGGGUUGUAAACCUCUUUCAGCUAUGACGAAGCGCAAGUGACGGUAGUAGCAGAAGAAGGACCGGCCAACUACGUGCCAGCAGCCGCGGUAA
rnacentral:rRNA from 1 species